CCUACGGGACGCAGCAGUCGGGAAUAUUGCACAAUGGAGGAAACUCUGAUGCAGUGACGCCGCGUGCAGGAAGAAGGUUUUCGGAUUGUAAACUGCUUUAGAUAGGGAAGAUAAAAGACUGUACCUAUAGAAUAAGCUCCGGCUAACUACGUGCCAGCAGCCGCGGUAAUACGUAGGGAGCAAGCGUUGUCCGGAAUUACUGGGUGUAAAGGGAGCGUAGGCGGGAGGAUAAGUUGAAUGUGAAAUCCAUGGGCUCAACCCAUGGCUGCGUUCAAAACUGUUCUUCUU
rnacentral:rRNA from 1 species